CUCUAGUGAAAGUCCAUUUUUCCUGCUCCUUUUUGUUAAUCACAGGAUUCCAUUAUACUGACAAUAAUCUACAGUUAUUCGUAUCUGAACACUGAUCCCCAGUGAAGCCGGGAUGGAGUUAAAAUGCUUGGAAUUUGUUCUCUAUAGUGCUGCUUUUCAUGUUGAGCAAAAAUACAGCACUUAUAAUUUGUUCCCCUGUAGUAUUUGUCAUCUUUUUACCGCUCUCUUAAGAGUGUAAUUCCUGCCCAAUAUUUUCUUUUUAAACUACCUCUCAUUUAAAUACACGCUUUGUGUUUUCUUAAAAUAAACGCUGUCAUGCAGCUCUUCUACUUCCUUUAUUGAGAAAACAGUAAUACUCAUACGAUUGUGGAAAAAAAGUUGAGAGGGAGGGAGAGACAGGGAAAGGAAGCAGAAAUCAUAACCAAAAAGUUCACACUGAUUAUUGAAAUAGUCAGUGCUCCCUUGGGCUGUGGGGAAGGGAAAGGCACUUUUACAGUGUUUUGGAACAUUUUUCUUCCUCGGGAUUCUGACUUUUCACCACAUAUUUAUGCUACGUUGAGAGAGGAGAAGAAAAGAAAAAGAACUCAAAGGUUUUACAGUUUCGAAGCAAAUAAAGGGGAGAUGCUGUUGUGGCUGCAGAGGUGAGCUAUGGACAGCUGGUGGAAGAGAAUCAGGCCCCAUGGUAAAGAGGGAAAGGACGGAGCAGCUCUCUUGUCUGCCAGAAGAUGAACAUUGCAGUGGGCAUACCAUGGGGCCAGACCACCAGCAGAGCAUUAAACAAGGACAGAUGUGAAUGCCAGGAUAAAAAUGAAGACAUUCCUGAAGUGCUUACUGAAGCUGUUGAUGAUAGUAUUUCAGAACUUACAAGUUUUCCUGACCCAGCUUUGAGCAGUUUACAGUGUCAUCAUAUUUUCCAUCUGAAAAUCUAGGCAGAAGAGCAUGUUUACAAUAGUUCCGUUAGAAAUAGCUUGAGAAAGUCUUCAGUGGGAGAAACCCAAAAGCUCUUUCCACCUGGAGGAGGAUGCAGUGAGUCUGCAAUGAUACACAAGUCCAUGUGGGAUCCCUGAUCUCUUCUGCUGCUCAAAGCCACAAGGGAGGAGAUAUCUUCUGCGUAGCCUGUUUCCAACAGCAGAGGACCUGGUGGUGUGAAGGAGUGUCUCACGCUGAAGUUUUCUCAUGCUCUGGCACACAGGAGAGAACAACACUGCAGUCCCGUGUAAAUGUGUUAAGAAAUGUAGAGUUACCGAGUCAGACACAUGGUCCAUUUUCUUCUUCUGCUGAACCACCCUUGUCAAGCACUUCUUUAGAGACUUAAUGUGGCAAUCUGUCAUUCACAGAAAGGUGCAUGAGGAAUGUAAAAUGCUGUUACUGGAAUUUAUCAAGAGCAGCUUCCAUAAUCUGCUACGCUGUAAAAACGUUCAUGUUUUAGCAUGCCAAGGGAGCUCUAGCGCUGAUACCUUCAACAAAUAGGAAGCACAUGGCAUAUUAAGCUCGUUUCCUCUCAAGUCCAUGGUUUACUUUUGGAGCAUAUAUAUGAAAAGAAAAUCCAAGCAUCAGCUGCACAGGUUAAAAAGGUAAGGCCUUUCCUUGUGUGUCUGAAGUGGGGAGUCACAUAAAGCAAAUGGAUUUGGCAGCUUUCCUUUGCUCUUUUUUGUUUCUGAAGUUGAACCACAGUCAUAAGAUACCAGAAAGUAACGUGAUCACUCAGUGAUAAUCUAUCCAUGAUAAAUAUACAGCGUUGGAGGGAAGCAAGCAAAAAGGAAUUUUGUGUGCAAGGUUUGGCCUUUCUCAAAUAAGAGACCACUUCAGAUGAUCGUGUUGCUUUGAUCUAUGACCCAAACUCAUCCGAGCCUUCAGUGAAGGUAUUACAGAAAAUCUAAUCUGUAUUUAUUCACCUUUCUACCAAGCUUGCUGCUCUGAAAUUAAUGCCUCCUAUUUUGUGGUGUUGGCCCACAACUUCAGAGGUGGAUGCUGGUAGCGUGUUAGUAGAGCUUGAAAUUUCCCACCAAUAUUCCAUUACAUUUCGUUGCUGUGUGACAGAUGGUAACAGAGGGGCAGUCUGACGAAAUGGCCUCUGACAUGGAAGUGCGUACAAAGCAAAGGUGUGUCACUGAAUUCCUCCAUGUGGAAAAAAUGGUCCCCUUUGACAUUCAUUGACACAUGCUGAAAGUUUAUGGAGACCAAACAGUGGAUGUGAGUGCAGUGAGGAGGCGGAUGGUGCAUUUCAGCAGUGGCAACAGAGACAUGAAAGACAAACCACGUUCCAGACAGACAUGCACAGCUGUCACACCACAAAAUGAAGACUGUCUCAAUCAGCUCAUCCACACAAAUUGGUGAAUUACAACCAGAGAACUGUGUACAGGGUUGAAUAUCAGCUUCAGUGCAUUGAAAAUGAUGAUGGUAACGUUGGAAUAUAAUGAAGUUUGCGACAAGUGAGUCCUGCAAAUGCUCACACAGGAACAGAAAGAGCAUCGUAUGUAAGUUUGAUAUGUAAGACUUAUUGAUAUGUAAGACCUAUUGAACCAAUACAAGGCUGAAGGUAGCAGUUUACUUCAUCCAGUUUCCUGGAUCACAUCAUUACUAGUGAUGAGACAUGAUGUCACCACUAUGAGCCAGAGUCAAAAUCCACGUCCAUGAAGUGAACUUGGAUUAUUAUAAGAUAUAUCACAAGAUAUAGAGAAUGUAACAGACAGACCAGCAGUAAGAGGUGGUUACAGAAGAAUCCCACUUUAUAGCUCUCUGUGACUCCAGGGAAUCUUUAGCCCUGCAUCAGUUGUCUGGGUUUCCUCUGCAACUUAUGGGGAGAAUGAAGGGAACUACUGGAAAUUGCUGAAGUGAUGAUUAAACUGUGUUAAAAGAAUGAAGAACCAUGGAGUAUCAGUAAGGUGGGACUCAGUUAAGUCCCUUCUUGCACACAUAUUUAAACUACGUUCUGUUGCUGAGUAAAACAGGGCUGGCAUCUUCCAAUGGAAAGCAUAGCACUACAUACCACACACACAUGAUGGAACUAUUGAAGAAAACAGCAGUGGGAAUGGUGCCUCACAAGCAGACAUUUCCUUAACCAGCAACUUAUAGAGCCUUAGAUUUUCCUGCUUUAGUGGCUUAACUGCCUGAAAAUAACUCCGUGUUCACUGGGCUGGCCUGUUCUGCAUCUUGAAUAAUCAACAAAGUCACUAUUUGACUAGUCUUAAAGUCUCUGUUUGUAAUGAAGAUCAAACUGAUGAUUAGAAAAGAAAAAAAGAAGAAAGAAAGGAAUGAAAUGGGACGCCAAGUCUGUUUAAAUCACAGAGCUUUUCUGGGAAUUAAGAGGUCCACGGUGCACUUGAACUAUUCAAGAACCUAUGAAAUAAAGGGGAGAAGAAACCAAAGGACAGAGACUGAAUUAAUCCAGAUUAAUCCAGGAAAGAGGAGGCCAAACAAUCCAAGACUCAAAUACAAAACAUUUUCUCAAGUUCAGAAGUAGCAAAUUUUCCACUGGAAAAUGGAUUGGCUUUAAACUGUUGUUAAAUUAUCUAAACUAUCCAACUUUCCACAAAGCUUUUAUGCUGCAGUUUUGAUCUGUACACAAAGCUUCUGGGAGAAUUGCAAAAUACAGCAAACAAACCAAAUUGCACUUCCUAAUUUCUGUAAUUGCUUGUUACAACAUUCUUGGGAGUUGAAACAAAUUGAACGCAUUGGAACAUUUUACGAAGUUUCCCUUGCACAUAAGAACCGCCUUGGAUCUCAUUGAUAGAGGCUGGUUUGGUUUUAUUUGUUCUCAACAGCAAAUGAUAGAAGUUGUUUAAAAUGGAAAAACAAAAAUCCCUAGUGGAAACAGAUUCCCUGUGAUUUGGUUCCUGGUCUUUGACAUUCACGUAUCCGUGUCUACUGCUUGCUAACGCUGCAUUGCAUUUCAGCUUGCCUCAGCCCUGCAGAAUUAAAUGGUAGCUGUAUUUAUGGGCACACUGUGCUCAGUAGACCGUGGAAGAACUUACGCAAGGUCCUCCUUCUAGUGAGAAAAAGAAAUGUUACCUGUCUGUAAAUACCGCUCGCUCCCUGAUUCUUGACAAGGAUAAAUGCGUCGAGGGAGCGAAGUGGGAGCUCGGGCUGCUUUGGGGACCGCUCUCCUCGCUUUUGCCAUGGGAUGGACCCAGAGGAGAGUGGACACCGCGGUGGUGACACCACGCGGGAGCACCUUCGGCGGCGCGGGGGAGAGCUGUCGGGCUGCACCCGGGAGGCUGAGGGACAGUGAGAACGGAGCCGCUCUUACGUUCACCGAGCAGCGGCCGGAGCUGAGUAUCAGAGCCCUCUAGUGAGACUUCUCGGAGUGGAUCUACCCCCGCGGCCCUCCCGGACGGCCUCCACGCAGCCCGCGGCCGGGGGCCGGUUUCAUUUCUGAGGGGGGGCCGAAAAUCCCCUUGGGGAGACGGGGGGCGGCCCGAGGUUUGCUUCCCUUUGGGCAACCCCAGACCCCCGCCCAGGAACACCCCAACCACCGCCCCAGCCCGAGGGUCGCGCCGCGACCGAGCAGUGAGCCAAGAGCAGGAGGAUGUCAGCUGAGAAGGGAGCAGAAGGGGAAAGGCAGCCCGAUCCUAAAAAUACGGCCCGGUUAAAUCCCCGUGAGCCGAGGAUGGAGACGGUAACAAAAACGCCUGGAAUCGGUAGGAGCAGUGGACAAUCUUCGUGCUUUCCUCAUCAUCUUGGAAUAAUCAGUGGAAUUAACUGAGGUCGAGGAAACCGGCUCUCGGGUUAGUUGUGGGAGGCUGUGAGAAUAGGGGGCAGCCAUUAAAAGAAACCUGAUCGCUAUUCAUCAACUCGGAAGAGGGAAAAGGAGGAGGAAGGAAAAAAAAGAAAGAAAAAAAAAAAAGAGAGACCUUCGUGGCUUGAGCUCAUACCAGCCUCGUAUACCUCUGAUCAAGAAGAUCCCGGGAAACACGAAGUUUACAAAUAUUGUCAAAGUGAUGCUUGUAGCGUGAUUUCAGUUGUCAAUCCCGCAGAAGCCCACCAGAACUUUGGAUGCAGUGCCCCGCAUUUCUGGCUAGUUAAUGCCAAUCCCCUGAGGCGGAAGGCUCUCCUUAUUUUAACCAUAUGUGCCUGCUGCUGUUGUUGUCUUGUCUGCGAGCUGCGCGCUGCCUUUGCCGAGGGUCCCCCCGUGCCGAGGAGCAUCCGAGGCGCUGCGCGGCCCAGGGGAUACGGGGCCACGUCCCCUGUCCCCGGGCCGCUCCCAAACGGUGUCCCUUCUCCGCGGGACCCGAGCCUGGCUGUGAGACGGGGAUCCCUAAAUAAGCGUUGGCACUGUGGGUCGGGGUGCUGCUGGUAGGAGGAAGUGAAAAUCCUGAGCCCAGCGCCCAAGGCUGAGAGGGGAUACCUUCACAGAAGGUAACGAGGAAGGGUCGCAUUAACGGAGGCAAUGGGAGGGAGCGCGUUCCUCGGCCGGGAAGUGGGGCCGUGCCUGGGCCCCCCUCUCUCAGCACCUCGCCGCCCCCGGAGCUUUCUUUCGAGCGGGUUUGAUGGCAUAACCGAGUGCCCCUCUGCAGAUCUAGAAUCCUCGGCGGAUCCCCCCGAGGAACAGCGCGCUCAGGCAGCUUUCAUCCUCACCACGGUAAAGGACGUGUGUGAGGAAGAUGUGUUUCAUCCUGGCAAUAGGAACACCUCGGGGUUCAGCAUUUUACUCUACCAGCCCCGAGAGCCCCUCUGCGCCCUUCGUCUCGGGUGGCUGAAGGGCCGCAGGAGGGAUGAGGCUGUCCGCGAGAAGGCGCAUCAUCUGCCAAGGGCGCAGUGCGGAUCUGCGGCCUGCGGGUGGCUGCGGGCUGGGGGGAGGCACGGCCGGGAGGGAGACUGUCACAUAACUUCGGCGUUGUAUUGGCACUCACGUACGGACACAAACCGGUUACGUGCAGCGAGAGGCUCCUGGAAGAGACACGCUCGGGCGUCCCUCCCUCCCCUCAGCUCUACUGCUCCCUGCUCAAUAAAAGGAGCGUUACGAGAAAAACGGC
ensembl:lncRNA